rnacentral:rRNA from 1 species
UACGUAGGUGGCGAGCGUUGUCCGGAUUUACUGGGCGUAAAGAGCGCGCAGGCGGUCGUACAAGUCGCGUGUGAAAGCCCCUGGCUCAACUGGGGAGGGUCACGCGAUACUGUUCGACUCGAAGGCAGGAGAGGGAAGUGGAAUUCCCGGUGUAGUGGUGAAAUGCGUAGAUAUCAGGAAGAACACCCGUGGCGAAGGCGGUUCUCUGGGACGGUACUGACGCUGAGACGCGAAAGCCAGGGGAGCAAACGGG